ACGCUGGCGGCGUGCCUAAUACAUGCAAGUCGAACGAGUUCUCGUUGAUGAUCGGUGCUUGCACCGAGAUUCAACAUGGAACGAGUGGCGGACGGGUGAGUAACACGUGGGUAACCUGCCCUUAAGUGGGGGAUAACAUUUGGAAACAGAUGCUAAUACCGCAUAGAUCCAAGAACCGCAUGGUUCUUGGCUGAAAGAUGGCGUAAGCUAUCGCUUUUGGAUGGACCCGCGGCGUAUUAGCUAGUUGGUGAGGUAAUGGCUCACCAAGGCGAUGAUACGUAGCCGAACUGAGAGGUUGAUCGGCCACAUUGGGACUGAGACACGGCCCAAACUCCUACGGGAGGCAGCAGUAGGGAAUCUUCCACAAUGGACGCAAGUCUGAUGGAGCAACGCCGCGUGAGUGAAGAAGGCUUUCGGGUCGUAAAACUCUGUUGUUGGAGAAGAAUGGUCGGCAGAGUAACUGUUGUCGGCGUGACGGUAUCCAACCAGAAAGCCACGGCUAACUACGUGCCAGCAGCCGCGGUAAUACGUAGGUGGCAAGCGUUAUCCGGAUUUAUUGGGCGUAAAGCGAGCGCAGGCGGUUUUUUAAGUCUGAUGUGAAAGCCCUCGGCUUAACCGAGGAAGCGCAUCGGAAACUGGGAAACUUGAGUGCAGAAGAGGACAGUGGAACUCCAUGUGUAGCGGUGAAAUGCGUAGAUAUAUGGAAGAACACCAGUGGCGAAGGCGGCUGUCUGGUCUGUAACUGACGCUGAGGCUCGAAAGCAUGGGUAGCGAACAGGAUUAGAUACCCUGGUAGUCCAUGCCGUAAACGAUGAAUGCUAGGUGUUGGAGGGUUUCCGCCCUUCAGUGCCGCAGCUAACGCAUUAAGCAUUCCGCCUGGGGAGUACGACCGCAAGGUUGAAACUCAAAGGAAUUGACGGGGGCCCGCACAAGCGGUGGAGCAUGUGGUUUAAUUCGAAGCAACGCGAAGAACCUUACCAGGUCUUGACAUCUUUUGAUCACCUGAGAGAUCAGGUUUCCCCUUCGGGGGCAAAAUGACAGGUGGUGCAUGGUUGUCGUCAGCUCGUGUCGUGAGAUGUUGGGUUAAGUCCCGCAACGAGCGCAACCCUUAUGACUAGUUGCCAGCAUUUAGUUGGGCACUCUAGUAAGACUGCCGGUGACAAACCGGAGGAAGGUGGGGAUGACGUCAAAUCAUCAUGCCCCUUAUGACCUGGGCUACACACGUGCUACAAUGGAUGGUACAACGAGUUGCGAGACCGCGAGGUCAAGCUAAUCUCUUAAAGCCAUUCUCAGUUCGGACUGUAGGCUGCAACUCGCCUACACGAAGUCGGAAUCGCUAGUAAUCGCGGAUCAGCACGCCGCGGUGAAUACGUUCCCGGGCCUUGUACACACCGCCCGUCACACCAUGAGAGUUUGUAACACCCGAAGCCGGUGGCGUAACCCUUUUAGGGAGCGAGCCGUCUAAGGUGG
rnacentral:rRNA from 1 species